rnacentral:rRNA from 1 species
AGUAAUGUCUGGGAAACUGCCUGAUGGAGGGGGAUAACUACUGGAAACGGUAGCUAAUACCGCAUAACGUCGCAAGACCAAAGAGGGGGACCUUCGGGCCUCUUGCCAUCAGAUGUGCCCAGAUGGGAUUAGCUAGUAGGUGGGGUAACGGCUCACCUAGGCGACGAUCCCUAGCUGGUCUGAGAGGAUGACCAGCCACACUGGAACUGAGACACGGUCCAGACUCCUACGGGAGGCAGCAGUGGGGAAUAUUGCACAAUGGGCGCAAGCCUGAUGCAGCCAUGCCGCGUGUAUGAAGAAGGCCUUCGGGUUGUAAAGUACUUUCAGCGGGGAGGAAGGCGAUGAGGUUAAUAACCUCGUCGAUUGACGUUACCCGCAGAAGAAGCACCGGCUAACUCCGUGCCAGCAGCCGCGGUAAUACGGAGGGUGCAAGCGUUAAUCGGAAUUACUGGGCGUAAAGCGCACGCAGGCGGUCUGUCAAGUCGGAUGUGAAAUCCCCGGGCUCAACCUGGGAACUGCAUUCGAAACUGGCAGGCUAGAGUCUUGUAGAGGGGGGUAGAAUUCCAGGUGUAGCGGUGAAAUGCGUAGAGAUCUGGAGGAAUACCGGUGGCGAAGGCGGCCCCCUGGACAAAGACUGACGCUCA